ACUAUUUUGGCAGAGUAAAGUGUAAUAGGUUUAGAACCUAAAUAGAUAAAUUGAAUUAUAGAUAGUA
rnacentral:tRNA from 1 species